AUUGAACGCUGGCGGCAUGCUUUACACAUGCAAGUCGAACGGUAACAGGCCGCAAGGUGCUGACGAGUGGCGAACGGGUGAGUAAUGCAUCGGAACGUGCCCAGUCGUGGGGGAUAACGCAGCGAAAGCCGUGCUAAUACCGCAUACGAUCUAUGGAUGAAAGCGGGGGACCGUAAGGCCUCGCGCGAUUGGAGCGGCCGAUGUCAGAUUAGGUAGUUGGUGGGGUAAAGGCCUACCAAGCCGACGAUCUGUAGCCGGUCUGAGAGGACGACCAGCCACACUGGGACUGAGACACGGCCCAGACUCCUACGGGAGGCAGCAGUGGGGAAUUUUGGACAAUGGGCGCAAGCCUGAUCCAGCAAUGCCGCGUGCAGGAAGAAGGCCUUCGGGUUGUAAACUGCUUUUGUACGGAACGAAACGGUCUGGGUUAAUACCCUGGGCUAAUGACGGUACCGUAAGAAUAAGCACCGGCUAACUACGUGCCAGCAGCCGCGGUAA
rnacentral:rRNA from 1 species